GCAGCCGCGGUAAUUCCAGCUCCAAUAGCGUAUAUUAAAGUUGUUGCAGUUAAAAAGCUCGUAGUUGAAUUUCGGGGUCAGUAGGCUGGUCGUGCCACGGGUAUGUACUGGUCUUACUGAUUCCUCCUUCCUGAUGAACCGUAAUGCCAUUAAUUUGGUGUUGCGGGGAAUCUGGACUGUUACUUUGAAAAAAUUAGAGUGUUUAAAGCAGGCUAACGCUUGAAUACAUUAGCAUGGAAUAAUGAAAUAGGGCGAUCGAUCCUAUUUUGUUGGUUUCUAGGAUUGACGUAAUGAUUAAUAGGGAUAGUUGGGGGCAUUAGUAUUCAAUUGUCAGAGGUGAAAUUCUUGGAUUUAUCGAAGACUAACUACUGCGAAAGCAUUUGCCAAGGAUGUUUUCAUUAAUCAAGAACGAAAGUUAGGGAUCGAAGACGAUCAGAUACCGUCGUAGUCUUAACCAUAAACUAUGCCGACUAGGGAUCGGAUGAUGUUAAUUUUUAAUGUACUCAUUCGGCGCCUUAAC
rnacentral:rRNA from 1 species